GAUGAACGCUGGCGGCGUGCCUAAUACAUGCAAGUCGAGCGAACAGACGAGGAGCGUGCUCCUCUGACGUUAGCGGCGGACGGGUGAGUAACACGUGGAUAACCUACCUAUAAGACUGGGAUAACUUCGGGAAACCGGAGCUAAUACCGGAUAAUAUAUUGAACCGCAUGGUUCAAUAGUGAAAGACGGUUUUGAUGUCACUUAUAGAUGGAUCCGCGCCGGAUUAGCUAGUUGGUAAGGUAACGGCUUACCAAGGCAACGAUGCGUAGCCGACCUGAGAGGGUGAUCGGCCACACUGGAACUGAGACACGGUCCAGACUCCUACGGGAGGCAGCAGUAGGGAAUCUUCCGCAAUGGGCGAAAGCCUGACGGAGCAACGCCGCGUGAGUGAUGAAGGUCUUCGGAUCGUAAAACUCUGUUAUUAGGGAAGAACAACUGUGUAAGUAACUAUGCACGUCUUGACGGUACCUAAUCAGAAAGCCACGGCUAACUACGUG
rnacentral:rRNA from 1 species